GUGGUAGGGGGCUUGCCCCCGAUGGCGGCGGGUCAGUCACAGAUGUAUCACUGACACGCCCUCAUCGGGGGCAAGCCCCCUCCCAC
rnacentral:misc_RNA from 1 species